GGGAGCUGUUUCCUUUUGACCCCUUAACUCCUGUUUACAGAGACACUCAGGGAUGUGGAGGAGCUGGGUUUACAUCCUUACUCCAGAUCAGGCAGAACAGAGAUUUGGGCACAGGUUUGCCCCACUCUGCAUUUGGAGGUGCAGAGCUACCUAAACCACAGGUUUGCUGCUCCUCAUCUCAGUCCUGAGUCCCUUUGAACACCCCAGGCACUGUCUCCCUGCCAGUCUGUCUUGCUGUGUGGCACAGGGACACAGAUUCUUCCUCCUCCUCCUCGCCUCCGCUCCUACACCCAGAGCACAACUUUCUCAUGAGGCUGCAGUGACCAGCACAGCGCCGUCUGUCAUCACACAAACAAGCAGGGCACCGGCUGUUUUUACCUGUGACCAACAAAGUGUUUUUAACCUACGUCUCAGAAGCCAGCAAGACACUCCCAAUCUGCCAAUCAGCCCAUAAUACCUCAUACCUACCAGGCUAGUUUUACUUUCUUCUUUGCCCAGCUUCCCUUUUGAAGGUACUACAAACGCAAGUGAAAUGCCUUGAGAACACACGGGGGAAGCCAGAGCAGCAGCCGGCAGAGGCAGCAUGAACCCUGCUACAAGCCCGUGCAUUCAGGUACCGCGGCGUCUGGGGUCCACAAGGGGGUGAAGGAGGUCUCAGGUCGCACCGCAUCCUGCCUUGCAGAAAGCCAGCUUUCCAGGAGGCACCAGGGAGAAGAAGGAGGGAUCUGCUGAGGAGCCAUGGCACGACCCAUGCCAAAACAUCACCAUGGACACAAAAGAUGAGGAGCAACUCCCAACACAAACCCAGAGGGGUGCCUGGGGCCAGGAUGUGACGCGUGGUAACAGCCUGCAGAAACACCCGCCUGUCUGUCUGCAGAAAUAGCCCGAGCAGGGGGCUGUCUCCUGAGUCACGCUGGAGAAAGCGGUGAGCUGGCUGGAGGCGACCCAAAACCCCUGAGUUUCGCAGAGACCGGCGGGGAAAAGCAUUGCUCCUCGUCCCGCGCAGCCUGAUCUGCUGCCGGCUGCCCCGUGCUCUGCUCACACUCGUGAGAUGUGUCUUGUGCUUUCCUGCACAGGGAUUUACUGAUGUCGGCAACUCGUGGAAAGCCACCGGAUAUUAAAAAAAAAAAAAAGGCACCGGGA